AGAGUUUGAUUCUGGCUCAGGAUGAACGCUGGCGGCGUGCCUAAUACAUGCAAGUCGAACGCGAGCACUUGUGCUCGAGUGGCGAACGGGUGAGUAAUACAUAAGUAACCUGCCCUAGACAGGGGGAUAACUAUUGGAAACGAUAGCUAAGACCGCAUAGGUACGGACACUGCAUGGUGACCAUAUUAAAAGUGCCUCAAAGCACUGGUAGAGGAUGGACUUAUGGCGCAUUAGCUGGUUGGCGGGGUAACGGCCCACCAAGGCGACGAUGCGUAGCCGACCUGAGAGGGUGACCGGCCACACUGGGACUGAGACACGGCCCAGACUCCUACGGGAGGCAGCAGUAGGGAAUUUUCGGCAAUGGGGGAAACCCUGACCGAGCAACGCCGCGUGAAGGAAGAAGGUUUUCGGAUUGUAAACUUCUGUUAUAAAGGAAGAACGGCGGCUACAGGAAAUGGUAGCCGAGUGACGGUACUUUAUUAGAAAGCCACGGCUAACUACGUGCCAGCAGCCGCGGUAAUACGUAGGUGGCAAGCGUUAUCCGGAAUUAUUGGGCGUAAAGAGGGAGCAGGCGGCAGCAAGGGUCUGUGGUGAAAGCCUGAAGCUUAACUUCAGUAAGCCAUAGAAACCAGGCAGCUAGAGUGCAGGAGAGGAUCGUGGAAUUCCAUGUGUAGCGGUGAAAUGCGUAGAUAUAUGGAGGAACACCAGUGGCGAAGGCGACGAUCUGGCCUGCAACUGACGCUCAGUCCCGAAAGCGUGGGGAGCAAAUAGGAUUAGAUACCCUAGUAGUCCACGCCGUAAAC
rnacentral:rRNA from 1 species